GGGCCCGCACAAGCGGAGGAGCAUGUGGUUUAAUUCGAUGAUACGCGAGGAACCUUACCUGGGCUUAAAUGUCAUGCGACCAUUUCUGAAAAGAGAUUUCUCUUCGGAGCGAAUGGCAAGGUGCUGCAUGGCUGUCGUCAGCUCGUGCCGUGAGGUGUUGGUUAAGUCCCGUAACGAGCGCAACCCUUGUCCUUAGUUGCCAGCACAUUAUGGUGGGAACUCUAGAGAAACUGCCUACGUAAGUAGUGAGGAAGGCGGGGACGACGUCAAGUCAUCAUGGCCCUUACGCCCAGGGCUACACACGUGCUACAAUGGUAAGUACAAUGAGAUGCCACUUGGUAACAAGGCGCAAA
rnacentral:rRNA from 1 species